rnacentral:rRNA from 1 species
CCCUUAGAUGUUCUGGGCCGCACGCGCGCUACACUGAUGAAUUCAACGAGCUCCUAACCUAGACCGAAGGGUCCGGGUAAUCUUUGAAAUUUCAUCGUGAUGGGGAUAGAUUAUUGCAAUUAUUAAUCUUCAACGAGGAAUUCCUAGUAAGCGCGAGUCAUCAGCUCGCGUUGAUUACGUCCCUGCCCUUUGUACACACCGCCCGUCGCUCCUACCGAUUGAAUGGUCCGGUGAAAUGUUCGGACCGCGACAAGGCGGACGGUUCGCUGUCAGCUUUGCUGCGGGAAGUUCAUUAAACCUUAUCAUUUAGAGGAAGGAGAANUCGUAACA